GAAUUCGCCCUUCCUACGGGGGGCAGCAGUAAGGAAUAUUGGGCAAUGGCCGCGAGGCUGACCCAGCCAUGCCGCGUGCAGGAAGACGGCCUUAUGGGUUGUAAACUGCUUUUAUACGGGAAUAAUAGAGUGUACGCGUACAUUUAUGCAAGUAUCGUAUGAAUAAGCAUCGGCUGACUCCGUGCCAGCAGCCGCGGUAAUA
rnacentral:rRNA from 1 species